ACAGGAUACUGCUUGGUAUGGAACAAGGUAUAUGCCCAUGGCAUCACAGUUCUUUGUUCAGCAAUCUAAUGCGGGAGCCUACUACCAACCGUACUCGGACGGUGUAUUUAACACCUUCCAGGAACAACAAGGAUUACAAGGACAAGGAUUGCAAACGCGACAAAUCUAUAACUAUCGCCAGUAGUUCCAAACAGUU